rnacentral:rRNA from 1 species
UACAGAGGGGGCGAGCGUUGUUCGGAAUUACUGGGCGUAAAGGGCGCGUAGGCGGCCCGCUAAGUCGAACGUGAAAUCCCCAGGCUCAACCUGGGAACUGCGUCCGAUACUGGCAGGCUUGAAUCCGGGAGAGGGAUGUGGAAUUCCAGGUGUAGCGGUGAAAUGCGUAGAUAUCUGGAGGAAUACCGGUGGCGAAGGCGGCAUCCUGGACCGACAUUGACGCUGAUGAGCGAAAGCUAGGGGAGCAAGCGGG